UCUGCGAGUUCGCGGGAGAGUAAGUUAUUGCCAGGGUUUUUAUUUUAUACUUUAAACCUUGAAUUUAUUUUUUAAAUGUUUAUAUUAUUUGAAUAAAACAUUCAAAUAAUAUAAAAAAUAAUAUAUAUAUUGACAUGGAUUAAACAAAGAUAUAUAUUAUUCUAUGUUGUAUAAACAAAUUGGCAAAAUAGAGAUGGAAGAUAAAAAUAUGGUCAAAGUAAUAAGAGUCUAUGGUGAAUGCCUAGGAAGAG
rnacentral:misc_RNA from 1 species